AAGACCUUCAGUGAACAGCUCGACACUGAUCUUCUGCUCAGAAAGCAGCUGGUGAAAGCUCUUACUGCUCUUGGUGGGCAGAAUUUGGCAGACACAGUGAGGACAAUGCUGAGGAAAAUUGCCACAAACAAAGUCCUGGAGCAGCUUGGUCUCCGUGGAAAGACAGGCAAAGUGGCAUUUGAGGACUUGCCCUUUUACAGAAUAAUAAUAAAGGCAUGCAGGGGUGUUCACAAACAGACGACCACAGCUGAAGUAGAUUGUGAGCUUGGAGAGGUCCUGAAACUGGCCACUUUUUGAAAGGGAGGUUCAAAGUUUGAGGAGAAGAGGAGGAAUUAAGAGGAAGCGACGGCGAAGAAGGGCAAAGGGAGGUGUACAAAGGAAAUGGACAGUGAGAUGAGUGACCAGAGGGGGGGGUUACCCACAUAUGCGGUCCUCUCCAAGGUUUCUCAUAGUCAUUCACAUUGACGUCCCACUGGGGAAGCGACGGCGAAGAAGGGCAAAGGGAGGUGUACAAAGGAAUAGGACAGUGAUAUGAGUGACCAGGAAGCGACGGCGAAGAAGGGCAAAGGGAGGUGUACAAAGGGAAUGGACAGUGAGAUGAGUGACCAGGAAGUGAAGAAGAAGAAAACAGGGAAAGGGAAAAGAACCAAGCAAACGCCAGUGAGACCAGUGAGCAUUGAGCAGGUAAACAAGGAGUAAAUUAUGCCAUGUUUUAAUUGAAUUCAAUUCAUCUACAUUCCAGUGCUGUCUUUGUUGUAUUUGUGAA